GCUCACGCCACGUCCGACUUACAGCUUCAUAUUGCCAGUGAGUACCAGUCUGUUCUGCCAGAGCACAAUGAUCCUCAGUUGGUACCGACCUGUGAUUCACAGUACAAGUGUCCCCUUUGUGAAAAGAAGGGAGACUUGUGUAAGCUGGUCCCUCAUUUACAGGGCCACAAGCCAAACACAGUUAAACAUGCAGUGCUUCAAUCUAGAGAGAGCCUUCUACUCAAAUGUACUCUAUUGCGACCAGCCCAGGAAAAGGAGAACACACACAGACAGUAGUUGCAUUACCAGGACCUACCCAUGCAACAAACACAGCUGCUGUCACCCACCUUUUUGUGUCCUCCAAUAAGCUGGGACUUUGCUGUGACCCUAGAGACACCCUGAGCUAUGUGUGAACCAAACGUUGUGUCAGUCCAUCCAGUAGAUUUUUAAAUAUUUGGAUAAGUGAAAACUUUAAGAGAGAC